GAUGAACGCCGGCGGCGUGCCUAAUACAUGCAAGUCGAACGGAGACGUUAUAGCAAUAUAGUGUCUUAGUGGCGAACGGGUGAGUAACGCGUUGGUGACCUGCCCCGAAGAGGGGGAUAACAGCUCGAAAGAGCUGCUAAUACCCCAUGUGGUCGUGAAGAUUAGAGGCUCUACGACUAAAGGAGUAAUCCGCUUCGGGAGGGGCCUGCGUCCCAUCAGCUAGUUGGUAGGGUAAUGGCCUACCAAGGCGACGGCGGGUAGGGGACCUGAGAGGGUGACCCCCCACACUGGCCCUGAAACCCGGGCCAGACACCUCCGUGGGGCAGCAGUAGGGAAUAUUGCACACUGGGCGAAAGCCUGAUGCAGCAACGCCGCGUGCGCGAUGGAGGCCUUCGGGUCGUAAAGCGCUUUUUGGGGAGAUGAGGAAGGACAGUAUCCCCAGAAUAAGGUUCGACUAACUACGUGCCAGCAGCCGCCGUAACAC
rnacentral:rRNA from 1 species